GACGAACGCUGGCGGCGUGCCUAAUACAUGCAAGUAGAACGCUGAAGCGAGGAGCUUGCUCUUCUUGGAUGAGUUGCGAACGGGUGAGUAACGCGUAGGUAACCUGCCUUGUAGCGGGGGAUAACUAUUGGAAACGAUAGCUAAUACCGCAUAACAAUGGAUGACACAUGUCAUUUAUUUGAAAGGGGCAAUUGCUCCACUACAAGAUGGACCUGCGUUGUAUUAGCUAGUAGGUGAGGUAACGGCUCACCUAGGCGACGAUACAUAGCCGACCUGAGAGGGUGAUCGGCCACACUGGAACUGAGACACGGCCCAGACUCCUACGGGAGGCAGCAGUAGGGAAUCUUCGGCAAUGGGGGCAACCCUGACGGAGCAACGCCGCGGGAGUGAAGAAGGUUUUCGGAUCGUAAAGCUCUGUUAUAAGGCAAGAACGGAUGUGGAAGGGAAAAUGCCAAACUGGAACGGAAGUAUUCAAAAAAGGAACGGUAAAUUACUG
rnacentral:rRNA from 1 species